UUCGGGAACUCUGAGACAGGUGCUGCAUGGCUGUCGUCAGCUCGUGUUGUGAAAUGUUGGGUUAAGUCCCGCAACGAGCGCAACCCUUAUCCUUUGUUGCCAGCGAGUAAUGUCGGGAACUCAAAGGAGACUGCCGGUGAUAAACCGGAGGAAGGUGGGGAUGACGUCAAGUCAUCAUGGCCCUUACGAGUAGGGCUACACACGUGCUACAAUGGCAUAUACAAAGAGAAGCGAACUCGCGAGAGCAAGCGGACCUCAUAAAGUAUGUCGUAGUCCGGAUUGGAGUCUGCAACUCGACUCCAUGAAGUCGGAAUCGCUAGUAAUCGUAGAUCAGAAUGCUACGGUGAAUACGGUUCCCGGGCCUU
rnacentral:rRNA from 1 species